rnacentral:lncRNA from 1 species
CUUAUUGGCUGCGUGGCGCUGGUUCUACGGGCGGGGUUUUUUUUUCCUUACCCCCCGCGCAACCCAACCGAGCUUACCCUCGGGGAGCCCCACCCCGCGUGGCAGCCCCUCCGCCACCACCCAACCCAACCUGGCCGGCCUGGGACCCCCAGACCCUCGCCCACCGCCCCGCGGGUGCCGUUUGGUGGCCCCAUGGUGUGGGGGGGCCCCGGGGAGCGUGGCCUUUCUGUUUUUUUUGGGGGGUGUGGGACGGGAAGGGGCCCUGCGGAGUCUAGGUUGGAGUGGGAAUAAAGCUGUUUGGGUGGUUUUGGGUUUUUUUUUGGUUCCCUGCCCCCCUCGCGGUGGGUUAUUAAAGGGGUGCGACCCUCGCGUUUGCGCUCGGCUGCUUUGUGGGACAUGGCACGUCCGCCCCCACAGCGACCCUAAUAAAAUGGAAGGGGGGGGAGAGAUAGCGUGCAGCCCCCCUGAGACACCCCAUGGCAAGUUAGGGGGCUCCUGGGGGGGGUUUCAACAGCCUCUGAGAACACCCGAGCAGCUCCAGCCAGAGCGGGGCUGGGCUGAGCCCCCCCAGCUCCACCACCACCAUGGGGUGCCCCACGCAGGGCUUUGCACAGGGGUGCACCGGGGGGGCGGGGGGGGAGGAUUUUAGGGUGCAGCCAGCUUUCAUUAAUUAUUGGGCAGCCUCUGUCCUGCUUGGCAGAGCAGGCAAACUUCAGAGGGGCUGCUGGCGCGGUUGGUUUCGUUUUCCCAAGUUAUUCCCGGAGCUGAGACAAAACACAAGGGGCUCCCCCAAAAUCCCAGCACCCCCCCUCUGUGAGCACCCUCUGGCUGCGCUGGGCCCCUCUGAGCUCCCCUGGGUGCACGAUGCUGGGGCAGCCCAGGUAUUUGGAGCCCAGAUAAUUAUUUGGUGCACACUUAUUUAUUUGGUGCCCUGGUAUUUGGUGCCCACGCAUUUAUUUGGUGCCCAGGCGUUGAUUUGGUGCCUGGGUAGUUAUUUGGCACCCAGGUACUUGGUGCCCAGGCAUUUAACUUGGUGCCCAGGGAUUUAUUUUUUUGGCACCUGGAUAUCUGGUGCCCAGGUAUUGAUUCAGUGCCCAGGUAUUGAUUUAUUUGGAGCCCAGAUAUUUAUUUGAUUCCCAAGUACUGGGUGCCCAGGUACUUGGUGCCCAGGUAUUCAUUAAUUUGGUGCCCAGGUAUUGAUUUGGUACACAAAUAUUGGGUGCCCAGGAACUUUUUGCCUGGGUAUUGAUUUAUUUGGUGCCCAUGUAUUGAUUUAUUUAAUGCCCAGAUAUUGAUUUAUUUAAUGCCCAGGUAUUGAUUUGGUUCCCAGGUACUGGGUGCCCAGGUACUGGGUGCCCAGGGCUUUAAUUUGGCUCCCAGGGAUUUAUUUGGUGCCUGGCUGUCUGGUGCCCAGGGAUUGAUUUAUUUGAAGCCCAGAUAUUUAUUUGGUACCCAAGUAUUGUGUGCCCAGGAACUUGGUGCCCGGGUAUUGAUU